rnacentral:rRNA from 1 species
GACGAACGCUGGCGGCGUGCUUAACACAUGCAAGUCGAACGGAAAGGCCUGCUUUCCCUUGUGGCUUGCGGGUACUCGAGUGGCGAACGGGUGAGUAACACGUGAGUGAUCUGCCCCCAACUUGGGUAUAAGCCUGGGAAACUGGGUCUAAUUCCCGAUAGGACUGCAGGGUGGUGCCUGUGGUUGAAAACGUUUUUCUAGUGGUUGGGGAUGAGCUCGCGGCCUAUCAGCUUGUUGGUGGGGUAAUGGCCUACCAAGGCGGCGACGGGUAGCCGGCGUGAGGAGGCAGAGCGGGACAGAGAGAAUGAGAAGCGACACAGGCACCGAGGGGAGGCAGCAGCGGGUAAGAGAGGAAGAAGGGGGGAAGAGUGAAGAAGGGACGAAAGGCGGAGGAAGAAAGGCUGCGGGAGGGAAACUCGUCUCAGGGGCGAAAAAGCCACCUAGCUGGAAGGGUAGUGACGGUAGUGGUAGAAGAAGCACCGGCUAACUACGUG